rnacentral:rRNA from 1 species
AAUCUUCCACAAUGGGCGAAAGCCUGAUGGAGCAACGCCGCGUGAGUGAAGUAGGUUUUCUGAUCGUAAAACUCUGUUGUAAGGGAAGAACAAGUACAGAAGUAACUGGCUGUACCUUGACGGUACCUUAUUACAAAGCCACGGCUAACUACGUGCCAGCAGCCGCGGUAAUACGUAUGUGGCAAGCGUUGUCCGGAAUUAUUGGGCGUAAAGCGCGCGCAGGCGGUCCCUUAAGUCUGAUGUGAAAGCCCACGGCUCAACCGUGGAGGGUCAUUGGAAACUGGGGGACUUGAGUGCAGAAGAGGAGAGUGAAAUUCCAAGUGUAGCGGUGAAAUGCGUAGAGAUUUGGAGGAACACCAGUGGCGAAGGCGACUUUCUGGUCUGUAACUGACGCUGAGGCGCGAAAGCGUGGGGAGCAAACA